GGCUGGUCCAAGUGAAGUGGUGUUUACAAUUCAUUGAUCACAGCCAGUUACAGAGUUCUCUGUUCCUUCUCCACUCCCGCUGCUUCACUUGACUGGCCUUAA
ensembl:misc_RNA Y_RNA Y RNA